UACGGAGGGUGCAAGCGUUGUCCGGAUUUACUGGGUUUAAAGGGUGUGUAGGCGGGCUUUUAAGUCAGUGGUGAAAUCUCCGGGCUCAACCCGGAAACUGCCAUUGAUACUAUUAGUCUUGAAUUUUGUUGAGGUAGGCGGAAUAAGUCAUGUAGCGGUGAAAUGCUUAGAUAUGACUUAGAACACCAAUUGCGAAGGCAGCUUGCUAAACAAAUAUUGACGCUGAGGCACGAAAGCGUGGGGAUCAAACAGG
rnacentral:rRNA from 1 species